CUCUACAAACAAAAACACACAGUCACACACACACUAAAAGCAGCUCUCUUUAUGCAUACUUUACUCUCUUGCCUAAUCCCUGCACAAAAAUUACACACACCAAAACCCACCUUCUAAAUCACAAUUUCUCAUCAAAUUCACCAGAAAAAAUCCAAUCUUUUUGAUUAAAAAAACGCCCAAAAUGGCUAAAACAGAGCCCUUGCCGGAGGAUCUCCGGUGCAACAGAACCGACGGCCGAAAAUGGCGCUGCAAUCGUCCGGUAAUGGAGAACAAGAAGCUGUGUGAGAUUCACCAUCUCCAGGGUCGCCAUAGACAACACAAAGAAAAAGUCCCAGACUUUUUGAAACUUGAGAGAAAGCCAAACAGGACCUCAAGUCAAGAACUUGGGGUUUGGAGAAAAGAUGAGAAAAGGGCUAAAAAGAGGAAGAUAUUAAGUGGGUUUGAUGAAAAUUUUGAUGGGUCUUUGAGGGAGAUUGAGAUGAGUAGAGGUGAUUUGAAGUUGGACUUGAUUAGGGAGUUUCUGAAAAGGGAAGUUGUCAAGAGGAAGGAGAGAAAGAUUCAAGAAAGUGAAGAGGAGAGUGAUGAUUUGGUGAUAGCCAAAACCCUGUCUCAGUCGGGUGAGAAUUUGCGUAAUGCAGGUGGUUAUAGUGGUAAAGGAGGGCUAGGAGGGCUAAUAUCUUGUUCUUUAGACGAAAGCGGAUUUGGUUCUAAGAAUGAUGAGCCGAUUCUUAGUACUGUAGUGGAGACCUUGAAUAGUUUGCGAGAAGCAAAGUUGUCGACGGGAGGGAAAAGAAUGAAAUGUCAUUGGUGUCAUAGAAGUAGCUACCAUACGCUAGUUAAGUGUACAAGUUGCCACAAACAAUUCUUUUGUGAAGAUUGUAUUAAAGCAAGGUGUUUAAACAAGCAGGAACUUAAGAUGGCAUGCCCAGUUUGCAUUGGUACUUGCAAUUGCAGGGCUUGCUUAACAAAUCAAUCUAAUGAUGGAGAAGAAAAGGAUUACUAUAAUGAUGAUACUAAGCUCCUCCACUAUCUCAUCCAUGUGCUUCUUCCUGUAAUUGCAAAAGUUAACCAUGACCAGAUCAUUGAGUUAGAAUUUGAAUCUAUAAUUAAAGGAAAGAGGCUCUAUGAAUUGCACAUACCACAAAUUAAAUGUGGCUACAGGGAGUUACCCUCUUGCAAUAAUUGCAAAGCUUCUGUUGUGGAUUUUCAUAGAAGCUGUACGAGAUGUUCAUAUAAUAUAUGCCUAAGUUGCUGCCGGGAGUCUCGACAAGGACAAUCCAGGGGAGAAAUUAAUGAAAACAAAAUGACCUGUUUAAAUGGGAAGAAUGAUGAUUCAUCUGAUGAUGGACUACUAUUAAAAAGGAGGUAUAACACUUCAAGGCAAGGUUCUUGCAGAAAUUCAUCCGCUGCUCCAACCAUACAGCAAAAGCUGAAUGACUGUGCAGAUAAAAAUAUUCCUUGCCCAGACCAUAGUUUCGAUGGUUUUGUAAACAACCUUGAGUUAAGAAGUGUGUUCCCGUUCGGCUGGUUAAAUGAGCUGCAAUCAAGUGUAGAAGAAAUCGUUGAUAGCUAUGUUCUUCCGAAGACUCCAGAUUAUGGACCACAGUGCUCAAUAUGUAGAAAGACAGAUCAUAGAGUGAACAGAAUCAGAUUGUUGCAAGAAACAGCUAGGAGAACUGAUCCAAGUGAUAACUUCCUAUAUUAUCCCACUGUCCAGGAUCUUCGUAUUGAAAAUCUAGAACACUUCCAAAAGCAUUGGGGUAAAGGUCAUCCUGUUAUACUUCGCAAUUUAAUCAAGAGCACUUCAAAGUUGAGCUGGGAUCCAUUUAUCAUGUUCUACAAUUUUCUUGGACUUGAGAAUUCGAAUCAUCAAAAUUACAAUAUAAAAUCAAAUAAUUGCUUGGAUUGGUGUGAGGUUGAAAUUUGUAAUAAGAAGACAUUUAUGGGGUCUUUGGAUGGACAUCCAAAUGCAAACGUGUGUCGAGACACAGUGAAAUUUCGGGGUUGGCUGUCUCCUCAAUUAUUCCAACAACAUUUUCCGGCCCAUCAUGCCGCGAUAUUGGAUGCUUUACCACUCAAAGAGUACAUAAAUCCAGAGUGUGGUAUUUUAAACCUAGCUCUAAAGUUGCCUAAUGAAAUGCCAAUGGCUAACUUAGGUCCUUGUAUCUACCUAACAUAUGGUGCACCGGAGGAACUUGCCCAAGCUAAUUUUCUGACAAGGCUAUCAUAUGAGUCCUAUGAUGUGGUUAAUAUUCUUGCACAUGCAACAGAUGUUCCGAUAAAUGUUGAAGAGCUUAAUAGACUGAGAGAAUUGCUAAAUAGGCGCAAGGAACAAGAUAAUAGGAGGUCUAAAGCAGAUGCUACUGGCCAACCUUUGGAAAAUCAACUGGAUGUGACAUCGAUGAUACAUAGGGAGGAUGUGGAAGAGAUGACAAGAAAAAUAUCACUAUAUAGUGAAGACACUGAAGAAUCUGUGUCGCAGGAUGUAACUGCAGAAAAUUUAAAAGUAGUGGAUGAAGUUCUCAUGCCUUAUACUGAUUUAGAUAGAGGUUGUGCACAAACUCUAAUAGACCUAAAUAUACCAGUAGCAAGUGAACCAGAUGUUGAAUAUGAUUCAGAGGCCACAGUCUCUGCAACCAUUCAAGGGGAAGAAGACUCUGAAAAUGAGAGUUUCUUUCAUGAUAAUAUAGAAAACUCAGGUUAUGAUGACAACAAAUCAGCAAGUUCUUGCGGUGCCGUGUGGGAUAUAUUUCGCCGGGAGGAUGUACAGAAGCUUCUAGAGUACCUCACACGGUACUCUAAUGAGUUGACUCAGGCAUAUGGUUCUCCAAAGGAGGUCGUUCAUCCAAUUCUUGAUCAGAGUUUGUUCCUAGAUGCAUUUAAUAUAAUGCGACUAAAGGAAGAGUUCCAUAUCGAACCAUGGACAUUUAAGCAGAACAUUGGAGAAGCAGUUAUGAUUCCAGCCGGAUGUCCCUAUCAAGUUAGAAAACUCAAGUCCUGUGUUAAUAUUGCUCUGGAGUUCAUCUCACCUGAAAAUGCUCACGAGUGUAUCAGAUUGGCCGAAGAACUCCGUCUACUUCCCCAAGGUCAUAAAGCUAAGGUCAAAAUCCCAGAGGUGGAAAACAUGACCAUAUAUGGUAUGAAGGCAGCAGUUAAGGAAAUUAAACAAUCUUACACAUCUAGAUUUCGCAAAGUCUAGGACCAGAGGUGACCGAAUAUUCAAAAAGCUCAUGCUUCACCUGAGUAAUAUCAAGCAUGGAUGAAGUUCAGAAUGUUGCAACCCAUGUGUUUGUUCAUUUUUAAGUAUGGUAGCUCAUCAGUGAAGGUGCAACUUUUUCCUGUGGAAAUUAUUCUCGGUCUCCAUACAUCAAACAGUUCAGUCACUAGAAUAUCUACUCCAACCAAGUGAAAGAUAUGAGCUUUACAAGAUGACAGGAAGUGAACUGAUCCUGUUGGUAUCUGCCAUGUACAUUUGUAUAAAAUACAUGUAAAACUUGUUUACUUUGUCAGUUUCAAAGUAAAAAAGGCCCCUGGAGUUGGAAAUAUAGUGCUCCUUUUGGUAAAAUGUAAAGAAUGUGGGGAAAAGGUUAACCUGUGCCCAAAUCUGCAAGUGAAGAUCUUCCGGCAUUUUGGUGUGCUAAUUUUAAUUGUUUGAAUCACUUAAACUUGGAGAUGAAUGCAUCGUUUUCUACUAAUUUUUUUUAUAGCAAAACCCAUCAUUGUAUAUUUGCACUAUUGUUCAUUUAACUUCUCAUGGCCUCUGA